CCAAACUGUUGCCUCGGCGGGAUCUCUGCCCCGGGUGCGUCGCAGCCCCGGACCAAGGCGCCCGCCGGAGGACCAACCAAAACUCUUAUUGUAUACCCCCUCGCGGGUUUUUUUAUAAUCUGAGCCUUCUCGGCGCCUCUCGUAGGCGUUUCGAAAAUGAAUCAAAACUUUCAACAACGGAUCUCUUGGUUCUGGCAUCGAUGAAGAACGCAGCGAAAUGCGAUAAGUAAUGUGAAUUGCAGAAUUCAGUGAAUCAUCGAAUCUUUGAACGCACAUUGCGCCCGCCAGUAUUCUGGCGGGCAUGCCUGUCCGAGCGUCAUUUCAACCCUCGAACCCCUCCGGGGGGUCGGCGUUGGGGAUCGGCCCUCCCUUAGCGGGUGGCCGUCUCCGAAAUACAGUGGCGGUCUCGCCGCAGCCUCUCCUGCGCAGUAGUUUGCACACUCGCAUCGGGAGCGCGGCGCGUCCACAGCCGUUAAACACCCAA
rnacentral:rRNA from 1 species